AUUUGAUAGUCAUUUUUAGGGAACAGAAACCAAAUAACAGAGGCCAAGGACCAUUCGUAUUUCAAGGAGGGAAGAUGAGCGCCCUCUGCUGGCAGUAUUUGGAGUUGAUUGAGUGAGGAGCUCUAAGCAGCCUGGAAGGAGUGCUCUGAGGUCAGCAGGCCUCAGGAAUUCCUAGCAUGCAAACAAUCUUGAGGGGAAACCAGAAGGUCAUUCCUAGCAGUUACUGUAAUACCUCUCAUUGCAGGCUGUUGGAUCUGUGUUCUCUCAGUGUGAUUUAGCUUAUGUAUCUGAUAGUUUUAUGGAUAGUCGUUUGGGCUGUAAACUCCUAUACUCUAUUAAAAUGAAC
rnacentral:lncRNA from 1 species